AGUAUGGAAAGCCAAAGGGGACCCCCGCUAAAAUACAUAUACUUAUAUAGUAAAUAUCGGGAUUGUCAUUUUUCGCGGAACUUUCACUUUCCGCGAAAAACCAAUGCCAGCAUGGCCAUAAAACACUACAUACAAAUCGAAAUCUAAAAAGCGCGGAACUUUCAUAUAUUUUCCGUCGGAGCAAUUAUUUUUCAACCCUGUAGAAAAGGCGGGCUCAAUUAAUCGCGCGGAACGUUAUUUAUCUACUCUGUACAAAUAGUAGUGUUUAAAAUCGCGCGGAGAUUGUAGAAUGCUAUUUUAAGAAGUCUAUUAAAGAGAGAAAAUCCAGUAAAUACCAGAUCCAAAAAGCGCGGAACACAAAUAUCGUCCGCGAAAAUUAAGCAUUGAAUUACUGUACAAAUCUCGGGUUGUUAGGUGUUAGAAUCCCUAGUUACCCGAAAAAUUUGAUUGGAUCCGAUACUUAGAAAUAACCAAUCAGAUACUUUGUAACAAAUGCAACACAAUCAGUGCGUUCAGUAAGUAUAACGUUUCAAGAUGGCGGAGCGAAUUGCAUGGUUAUUGUUUCUACUCGAUGGAUUCGCAGAUAAUUCGGAAAUAGAUCAGAUUGGGAUCAAUAACUGUAUUGCAUACGAUCAUUUACAUGUAUUACCAGGUGUGUGUUGCCAGUAAUGGUUGAAGAUAUGCCAAACAAAUUGUGCCUCUCUAUACAGACAGAUUUCAGGUCUCCAUUUUGACUUCAAAGGUCAACAUAUCACUGAUAUCAGGAAUUCUGUACAACUGUGGAACCAUGUAUGGUACGUGACCGCACAAUGUUGGUUGGCAAAAGGAUAUUGGAAUAAGCAAAGGGACUCAACAUUACACAGUCAUUUCAACUUGUCAGCAAUGAUGGAGCAGUACAUCAGAUUUCCAGAAUCUCGUCAUGAGCUGAAGAUCAUUGCCUAUGGAUUUCAUGAAUGAUGUAGAAUGAUUGGACUGUUGAUGGAACCCACAGUGCAUGUCCUGCUUCAACAUCUGAGCAUAGGUCCUUGUUUAUCAGCAGUUUAGUUCUUCAAGCAGUCUAUGACAGUAACUUGAAAUGUUUGGACAUAUGACCUGGAUGGC